rnacentral:rRNA from 1 species
GCAAGUCGAACGGCAGCACGGGGCCAACCCUGGUGGCGAGUGGCGAACGCGGUGAGUAAUAUAUCGGAACGUGCCCAGUCGUGGGGGAUAACGUAGCGAAAGUUACGCUAAUACCGCAUACGAUCUACGGAUGAAAGCGGGGGAUCGCAAGACCUCGCGCGAUUGGAGCGGCCGAUAUCAGAUUAGGUAGUUGGUGGGGUAGAAGGCUCACCAAGCCAACGAUCUGUAGCUGGUCUGAGAGGACGACCACCCACACUGGGACUGAGACACGGCCCAGACUCCUACGGGAG